GUAUUGUUUGGUCAAUUCAUAAUACUGUUAAUUUUGGGUUGCUGUAUUUUCUACGAUUUUUUAAUCAUCGUGUUACAUUUGAAUUUUUGUUGACUUAACUUUUUCUAUUUAUGUAAAUAUAUGCCAUCUUAGGUGGGCUUCAUGUUAUUUAACCAUCUAGAUUUGUUCUCUUUUCCGGCACCGUGUGUUGCUUUACGGUUAACAAA
rnacentral:lncRNA from 1 species